GAUGAACGCUGGCGGCGUGCCUAAUACAUGCAAGUCGAGCGAACAGACGAGGAGCUUGCUCCUCUGACGUUAGCGGCGGACGGGUGAGUAACACGUGGAUAACCUACCUAUAAGACUGGGAUAACUUCGGGAAACCGGAGCUAAUACCGGAUAAUAUAUUGAACCGCAUGGUUCAAUAGUGAAAGACGGUUUUGCUGUCACUUAUAGAUGGAUCCGCGCCGCAUUAGCUAGUUGGUAAGGUAACGGCUUACCAAGGCAACGAUGCGUAGCCGACCUGGGAGGGUGAUCGGCCACACUGGAACUGAGACACGGUCCAGACUCCUACGGGAGGCAGCAGUAGGGAAUCUUCCGCAAUGGGCGAAAGUCUGACGGAGCAACGCCGCGUGAGUGAUGAAGGUCUUCGGAUCGUAAAACUCUGUUAUUAGGGAAGAACAAAUGUGUAAGUAACUAUGCACGUCUUGACGGUACCUAAUCAGAAAGCCACGGCUAACUACGUG
rnacentral:rRNA from 1 species